rfam:TPA: Bos taurus chromosome 1, whole genome shotgun sequence.
UCCCUGGGGGCUCAGAUGGUAAAGAAUCUGCCUGCAAUGCAGAAGACCUAGGUUUGAUACCUAGGUUGGGAA